rnacentral:lncRNA from 1 species
GGCGGUCUUGUUCUACCACGGCGUCACGAAUUACAGAGUUUCAAUCUGAAACUCCGCACAGUAGGGAUGAUCGCGGCGAGUUUCGAGUUGGCAAAUAUUGUAGGUAGACCUGAUGGCCUACUUUGCAGGUGGACCGGGUGGCGAACAACAUGAGCAAAUUGAUCAGUGAUGUGCUGGGGGUAAGAUUAUGCUCCAAACAAAAACCCCACCCACUAAGAUAAUUGCAGAAAGAAGGAAAAAAACAAGAAAAAGCAGAAAGCAUGGCUACCCACUAAUGCACAGCAGCCCAAGCUCCAAGUUGAUUCAGGGAAUCAACUUGGCACGAUGACAGUGCAAAAGAUGCCCACCAACUUUCAUCAUGCAUGUUCCCACUCAUCACAGACGACACCAUGAUGUUAAAGAAAAAGAAAAAUGAGGAGGAAAAGAAGAAAAAGAAAAAGACAUAAUUGUGGUGAGGAUGGCACGUAAAAGAGAGAAUUAUAGGCAUGACCCAUUGAGCAGAGGGUCGGCUUUAUUUUUGAAUGAUGUAAUUUAUUUUUCUUAUCUUUCAGAGACAUCUGUAUAAACCCCAUAAGAGGGUAAUAAUAAUAAUAAUAAAUAAAUAAUAAAAAAAAACGUCAAGCCCAAAAUAAUGGGCUGGAAUGUUAUGUGAAGGGCCAAGGCCUAUAUGCCCAAAAGAGCCAAGCCCUAUGGCUCCAAAAUUAUUCGGCAGCCUGCCGCUAUUACCACCAACCAAGUGAUCAAAAGUACGCCCAGUACUCCAAAAUAAUUCGGCAGCCUGCCGCUAUUAUCACCAACUAGGUGAUCAAAAGUACGUCCAAUACUUCAAAAUUAUACAUGAGCAUUACUCAAGUCAAUCAUACAUAAACAUUCAAGAGCAUCACUCAUGUCAAUCAUACAUAAACAUUCAUGACCAUCAUUCAUGUCAACAUUCAUGAGCACCACUCAUGUCAACAUUCAUAAGCAUCACUCAUGUUAAUAUCUAUGACCAUCAUUCAUGUCAAUCAACAUAAACAUUCAUGAGCAUCACUCAUGUCAAUCAGCUUCAAAAGCUUCAUUUACAAAAGCUCUAGUUUCGAAAGCUUCAUUUACAGAGCUCUAGCUGCAAAAGCUUCAUUUACAAAGUUCUAACUUCGAAAGCUUCAUUUACAGAGCUCUAGCUUCAAAAGCUUCAUUUACAAAAGCUCUAGCUUCAAAAGCUUCAUUUACAAAGCUCUAGCUUCAAAAGCUUCAUUUACAAAAGCUCUAGAUUCGAAAGCUUCAUUUACAGAGCUCUAGCUUCGAAAACUUCAUUUACAGAGCUCUAGCUUCAAAAGCUUCAUUUACAAAGCUCCAGCUUCAAAAGCUUCACUGGCAAAGCUUCACCUAUAAAGCUUUAGUGCAGGGUAUACAAAUACCGCAUCCGAACAAUCGCCACUUUGGCCCAUACAUGGAUUCAAUUUGAAGUCUCCAGCCAACAAACUCUAUUGACCAAAGACUUGGGGGACUACAUUAUGUACCAUAUAUUGAGCCUUAAUUGGGCCUUAUAAAAAAUACUUGAGGGACUUAGCCCAUUAUUUAUGUAUUGAGGAGCAAACCCUUAUUUUAUAAAAGGGACUCCCUCACUUCCAUUAGAGAGUAUCGCCGCUAGCUGAGCAACCGCCUCGCCACGAGCGUCAACUCUAGACCAUCAUUUAUGUAUUGAGGAGCGAGCCCUUAUUUUAUAAAAGGGACUCUCUCACCUUCAUUAGAGAGCAUCGCCGCCAACUGAGCAACCGCUUCGCCGCGAGCACUAACUCUAGCCCAUCAUUUUUGUAAUAAGAAGCGAGCCUUUAUUCUAUAAAAGAGACUCCUUCACCUUCAACGCCACAAGCCGAGCCAACCAAGGCAACAUAAGCCACAAGUAGAGCAGGCUCGCAACAUGUGCUACUUCUAGUUUAGCAUCAUUUUAGAUUGGGCACCGCCUCAUAUUGAGUAUCAGUUCUAGAUGACAUUUAGUUACUUCGGCCCACAUAUGGACUGAAUUUCAAGUCUCCAGCCAAAAGACUCUUUUGACUGAAGACUUGGAGGACUACUGUUUAUACCAUACUUAGGCCAUCUCCAACCGAUGGCUGG